UGUCAACGCUUGGCAGCCAGCCGAGGGCCUUGGAGAGCGAAAAUUUAUGGUACAAUAGGUAAGUCUCUUCAGCGUCAGUAUACAAUCAACAUCAUCUUUGUGUGCGAAUGCGUGUGUGUGUGUGUGUGUGUGUGUGUGUGGAGACAGCUGCUCAGUAGAACACAAACGAUUCUGUGUGUAGUCGCGGUAACAGUUCACCUUCGACUCAAGUGCGAGGUUACAGCGCGUCGCAUUGCCUAUGUGAGGUAGGUUAGGCCCG